AUAAUUUUCAAAGUGAUAAGUAAGAUAUGUUUCACCAUUUCUCAUAUUUAAUGUACUAAUUAAUUAGAUAUUGUUUUUUUUUUAAUUUCUUAAGGUAUCUAUCAGAGCAAACCUGAUAAUUAAUCUUUUACAUUCUGUAGAACCAUCAAGGGGUAGAUGUUGGCCACGAGUUUUAAAGCUGUUCCAUGCCAGGGUGAGGAUUAAACCCUCGACCACUGAUUAAGCGUUGGAGAUGGGGGAGUUCUGCAUAAACCUAGACGUGGAUAUCAUGGGACUUGUACUUGCACUGGUUAUUGCCAUCGCGCUCAUGCUCACCUGUGUCAACCAACCUCCACGCGCACGCCCCCGCCCAGCUAUGGUUGUCACUCAUCGUAUAGCUUGGUAAGGGCUCAAGCAAGGGAUCAUCAUCAUCAUCAUCAUCAUCAUCAUCAAUAAUCUUGUUUCUUUUGAAGUUUGGUUUUUUUUUUCAAGUUUCAUGGGAUAGUUUUUCAUGUUUUUGAGAAUUGGGAUUGUGCCAAUGAACUGAUAAAAGGGUUUAAAAAGUUGAUCUAGAUUUUGUAAUAGAGUUUGCAAACUCCUUUAAUGUUAUUGUAUUCUCAUAUUAAAGUGAGUGUUUGUUGAUGUAAUGUAAGACAGAAAUAAAAGAGGCAAUUAAUACAGUAAAAGCAAAUUUGUAGUAAAUAAAAUUAUUUGAUGUCAAA